UUAAGAUUUAUUUCUGUGAGACUACUUCACCAGGAUAGGACCAAAAAAAAAAAACAAAAAAAAAAAACCCAGCUUCAAAGACUAGCAGAAAGGUACCAGGAAUCAAUGCUUUAUUAUAUUUGAAAAAUAUCCUUAAGUUUUAUUUCCUUUUUUAAAUAAAGUUUUUAAAGUUAAGAAUAGGCCACCAGCACCAUUCUACUGCUUUUAACUUUAAUCUCUUAGUGUGCACAAGAAACACUAGAGUCUCAAGCCACCUUGGCCAAGCCUUGGUCAAGGUUGGAACGAGUUGCUCCAUGAGGCCUCAGAGAGCUCCCACGAAACCUUGUCACACGAGACCUGGAAAUGGCAUUUCAAUCCACUCUUCUAAAAGUAAUCUCCAUUUCAACAUCAGAACUUCAAGAGGAAAUCUCUAAAUAACUGGUCUCCCAGCUAGUCCACCAGUUUGUUGAGAGCAGUAUGAAAAAAAUCCAAUAAUGCUGCAGUUGCCUUGAAGUAUGAACAAUGUCCAGCAAGUCCAUCAAGCAUCAGGACCUGCAUUUCUGGCUGGGACCUUGAAGAACCACUGCAAUAUCACUAUGGAUCAGGGACCUUGGCAGGACUGCAGAGCUCUUCUCUGUCCUCCUGGGUGGUUACUGACCCUGAUCUGGGACUCAUUUGGGAAAUGCUUCUUCCCAAGCUGACCAUCCUCUUGCCAUCUCACCCACGACAGCAGAGCUACGCGCAUGGCCAACAAGACACAACACCUCCAAAUGAAUCUACCCAUGUUUUAAGUCCUCUUCUCAUUUGGGACAAUGUAAACCAUUUUACAUCCAUUGCAUUUGCCCCUCCCUAAAACUGUCUGGUGAGCAAAUCCCAAGGCAGAGCUAUCAGUCUGCCCAUAGCCAUCUCUGCUGCUGCAUACGAAUGGGGACAGACUCAUUUUGAUGUCUUCCUGGGGUAAGUGUGACCUACUUCCAUGGCCACGGUACAGUUCAUUAUGAAUUCCUAAUGAUCUCAUUGUUCCAUUAAAUGAAGGUUGCCACCUGUCCCGAAGACUUUAGAUCAAGCUGGGAUUACCGUAUCUGCUGACCUAUUUCUCCCUUUUGUAGGACACAGCCUCUUGAUCAAUGGGGUUUGCUGGCCAUCUGGGUUGAGCAUCAGCAGCGACUGAUGCUGUGAUUUCCAGAGGAUGCUGUGUGUGGCCAUCCAGGGCUCCCUCUGAUGUAGGGCAUGCUGGAGGUCCUGCCCAUCCCAUUUGGCCAUCCGAUUUCACCUGUAUAGACACCAUCAGCAAAAAAAAAAAAAAAAAAAAAGAAUGCAUAGCCUAUGAAUAAUUUAUCAUGGCUUAAAAUAAUGGGGAGGGAAUUGCUGAGGCUGCAAUCGGG
rnacentral:lncRNA from 1 species